ACACAGUCGCAAACUGACCCCACCCAGGAUCCAAAACAGGAUUCAAAAAAACGUCUUUGCGUUUUCUACCAGCUCCCUAUCCUCAAACAAGGGGAGGGGAAGAAGCCGGUGAGAAAAACCUCUCUUUCCGCCGCCCUGCGCGUUUCUGCAGCCUUGCUCCGAGGCCGAGGUGGGUUCACAUUCCGCUCCUCCUUGUCAGUAGUUUUACCAAGAGCGUUUUGGCCCGAGGAGCCCCUUCUUAGAAGAGUCAGUGUGGGGCUCUUCGGGGAGGCGUUUGCGGAAUCGGGUUGGAGCUGCUGAGGAAUGGGAAGGAAGGUAAAAGUCCUGUUCUCGUACGACUUAGCCAGUCUACAUUCCCGCCCUGAGGUUUACUUCCCGCAGCUGAGCAGAGAUGGCAGCAUGACAAUCUGUUGCCUAGAAUGUGGGCUCAGAGGGGGACCACAGAAUUGGCCGACAGAAUGGAGGCGGGGAGUGGGGGGCGGGUAGGGGGGAGCCUGCACUUGCUCAAACCUAAGGAUUCUUUACCUGGUACCCAGGUGGAUCGCCAGAUUGAUGAAGCAGGCCUUGUUCUUUUUUGCCGGCAUAACUGGCACUUGGGGCUGAUGUUUUCAUUUUCUGGUUACUCACAUCUGUCUCCUCACCCUUAACCCACCCUCAGCCAGGGCUGAACUUCUUGGAGACACUGCAAACAACCUCUAACCCAAGCUUUCUUACUAGAAUGUUGGGAUCCUUGGCCUUCUUACUCUGAGACAGCAUGUCAUAUGGUAACACAUGGUAACACAUGGUAACACAUGGGCGAAACAGAGCAUCUUUAUUUAGGAAGGACAGUAAAAACAGUUUUAGCAUCAUGCCAGGGACUAGGGAAAUCGCAAAUGAGGCAAGACCCUCCCUCUGUGUUGCUAAGAACCUUAUAAUCAAGUCAUAAAUGUAAUCACUAGAAACGCAAGUGACAUAAUUACCUGAAUAGCACUGGCCAACUAACCUCCCAGAAGCAGCCUCAGGUAUUCAAAGAACUCCUUAACUACAGUUACUAACUAGUUAGUGCCGAAGGACAAUUUUGAUACACUUUAUUUUAAGCAACUCUUUUACAGAUAAAGAGGGAGUAAAAUAUUUUUGAAAUUCAUGGAAAUAGUCAAUAGGUUUCCCUUAAACAACAACUUUCAGUGGCACCUUUAAAAUAAGCUUUAAUUUUCUAGAAAUUGCUAGUGUGGAAUACGAAAGCUGUGCGGUGUGUUGGAAAGCUUCUAGGUCCUGGAACACCAGAUGUUCCUUGGAGAAUGCAUGUUAUCUUUCUCUGUUCCUCAGUUUCCUUAUCUGUAAAAUGAGGGCUUGAUAGUCCUCCAGGUCUCCCUCUUUCUUAUUCUAGGACAUCUUGGGGUGGCAGUGUGUAAAUGACCCUUAUAUAAAAGAGGGUACUCUAGUAAUGUGGAGAAGAGCUGUAGUUUGGCAGAGAAGAUGGGGAAAAACCAUUCCAGGAAAAGAAGAAUGUUUCUGGCUAUUGUUGAAAGGGCAGAUGUCAGGUUAUAAGCAGGCAAAGGUAAGAGAUUUGUCAAGCUAUUGUUGGAAGCAUUUGCCCAUGCGAUUCAGAAAUUAAAGUAGAUGGCUAAGAAAGUGGACCAUAUCAGGCCAGUAAAACCCCUCAGUAGGAGUUUUCACUUAAUCCAUAUUUGAGCAAAGAGCAAUUUCUGUUAAUAGUAAUUCUUAGAAGAUCACCUUGAGAUACCUGGGAGAGAGAAUGGGCACAAAGCCCCACAUUUGUUGACAGUACAUGUGUAAUUUUUGUCUUUGUUUGAAAAUACACAGGCAUGUAAGCAAGAGUGUGGCUUAUUUUCCCCCAGUCAUACUGCCCCCCCUACCCACCCAUUCCUGGAGAUUUGAUCCUUCUUUUCAUUGGAGCUUCAUCCUCUUUUAACCAUUACUUCUGUUAGUCAAUAAGUUUCAUGCUUAUAAACCUAAAAAAAAGUUAGAGUUAAAACAAAUUUAGAGAUUAGUCAUUUCUCUCCAUCACCUAAUUUUAUAAUUAGUGUUAAGGACAGAAUUAAACAUAUGUACUCUGUCUAAAGGGUAAAGGACACCAGCACUUGAGUCCUUAGAAGGAGAACCCCAGGCUUCCUGUGUCUACAUGCAAGGAAACUAGUGGCAUGAAGAAGAGACACAAGAAAAAUUUCAGGAAAAGGGGAAUGACUUUCAAAUUCAAGCUGUCAGAACAUUUUUUAAAUAUAUGAGUGGGUUUUUCUCAAUUGACAAUUACUUCACACCUAUUAAAAUUACUGAAAAAAUAUAGAUAUAAUUCCUUGUUGUAGGUAUUUAGAAAUACAAAUGAGUAAGCACUUAAAUGCAUUAAAAAAAUUUUUUUUUAUUUAAAAAAAAUUUUUUUUCAACGUUUAUUUAUUUUUGGGACAGAGAGAGACAGAGCAUGAACGGGGGAGGGGCAGAGAGAGAGGGAGACACAGAAUCGGAAACAGGCUCCAGGCUCUGAGCCAUCAGCCCAGAGCCCGACGCGGGGCUCGAACUCACGGACCGCGAGAUCGUGACCUGGCUGAAGUCGGACGCUCAACCGACUGCGCCACCCAGGCGCCCCUAAAAAAAAUUUUUUUAACGUUUAUUUAUUUUUGAGAUAGAGACAGAGCAUCAAUGGGGGAGGGUCAGAGAGAGGGAGACACAGAAUCCAAAACAGGCUCCAGGUUCUGAGCUGUCAGCACAAAGCCCGACGCGGGGCUCAAACUCACAGACCUCGAGAUCAUGACCUGAGUGAAGUUGGCCGCCCAACCGACUGAGCCACCCAGGUGCCCCGCACUUAAAUGCAUUUUAAUGAAAUAGUCAAACUCCCCCCCCCAAACCUUUCUUUUAUGUUUUUCAUCAUAACCACAUUGUGCCAAGCUGAAAAGAAAGGAAAAAUCAUGGGACCAAAAACAAACCAUUCGCCAUUCACCUAACUGGCUUUUUGCAUUGUCACCUAUGUGGGGGAGGGUGUUAAUUCUCCCCAAGUUGUCAGGUGAAAUACCACAGGCAAAGAAGGGACCUGGCUGUGUGCAGAGGCCUGAGGUUGCUCCCAGCAAUACAGCAUAAAGCUAACAUCAGAGGCUGGUCUGUUUGUGUGAGUUGGUGUUUGGCCUGGUGCUUCAGGCCAUGGGACUCUGUGUGUGUGUGUGUGUGUGUGUGUGUGUGUGUGAGAGAGAGAGAGAGAGAGAGAGAGUGUGUGUGUGAGUGUGUGCGCGUGCGCGCUCGCGUUUUAGGUGAUUUAUCAGAGAAGGAUCCUGUUAAUCAAGUCCUCUUGAUCUCCACAGAGAUCUAAUUUUUUUUUAAUAUGUGUUUAUUUUGAGAGACAGAGAGAGAGCAGGCAGGGGAGGGGCAGAGAUGGAGAGAGAGUAUCCCAAGCAGGCUCCACACUGCCAGCACAGAGACCAACAACAUGGGCCUUGAUCCCAUGAACCGUGAGAUCCUGACCCUCAGCCGAGCCGAUAUCAAGAGUCAGACGCUUAACUGGCUGAACCACGCAGGCAACCCAUUAACAACUUUUUAGAACUCAGCUCUUCAGCGUCUCUUUAAAUAGUGAUAUGUGAUUAAUUUAAAAUAGGUACCACUCUCAAAUAUCAGGUUUGCCCACAAAAGGAAAGUGAGGACUAGGGCACCCUGAUAGGUGCAGGUAGAGUCCCCACUCUGUGGGCCCCUUGUCUUGUUGAUUCUCUUGGUACCUAACAGACUUUGAACUUUGGUAUUUGGCAGAACAAUCGUGUGGAUCAGGGACACGCCUGUCCCUUCCUUUCCAGAGACUUCAGUAACCCUGAGGCACCAGGUACUGAGGGAGAGGCAGUUUGCGGUUGUGUGCUCGGCCCUUUUCUCACUUCCCCAGACUUUUUUCCUUUUAGCUCAGACUUUGGCACCAGACUUUUUCCUUUUAGCUCAGACUUUGGCUGGGGGGUGCCGGGAAAAGGGAAGAGAACAGGGGGAAAAAGUGAAGCUCUGGCAGGGCUGGGCCUCAACACAGCUGAAAAGCCAGUGAAGGUUGUCCUUUCCCAGGCUCUCCGUGUUGCCCACUCUUCUUCCUCCUCAAAUCCUCAGGCCAUUCCAGUUGCCUAAAACCAUUCUUCAGCUGGGCCAUAAAGCCCAUGCCCAAGCAUGUGUGAAUCACAGACAGCUGUUUAAGGAGUUUAUCCUCCUAGGAAUUUUGGCAUUGGAACAGGGACCAGUACCUAAGAAAUGAAGGUCUAUCCAUGGGCUUUCAGGAUUUACCAGUCAGCCAGAAGCAGAGCCUUCCUGGUAACCUUGGAAGCCUUCCUGCUCUACGUGGGAGUCAAGCCCGCCUUGUCCAGUAGCUGUUGCCAAACCCAAUUGUGUUUGUAAGUCUUAAGAGAAUCCAGGAGAGUUUGUGGUUGGGAUUUCCAAAGUGAGAUCAGAUGGUAUAUUUCUAGAAGCAAUGAGAGGUAACAAAAAAGCUUGGGGACUAGGAGUCAGUCACUCUUUUAGAUACUAAGAAUGCAGAGAUGAAUGAAACCAUUAUUCUUCUCUCUAAGGAUUCCAUCUAAUGCAGAGACAGAAAUCAUCAAAGGGUGAUGGCUAACGACCUGUUUCCUAACCUGAAGUAAAGCCAGAUCCAUCCCACCCAUGUUGUAAGAACUCCAGAUCAGCUCGCAUUCUUCCCUGAGCAUUCCUGAAGUUCCCAGGGGGUGCAAACAUGUUUGCAAACUAGCCCCUUUAGCCAACAUAGUGAGGCUGCCAUUUGGUUCUUUCUUACUCCAGCUCCCUGGGGGAGGUCUAUCCCUGCCCUAAAAGGGUCCCAUGCUGCUGAGAAUGCUUGAAGAUGCCAACACACAGUGUCCUCUUCCUUUUUGAUAGAGCACAUGGUCUGACCUGUUGCUGUAGUUCUUGUCCAGACUCGACUCACCUCUGUCUCAACAGGAGCCUCCUCCAGGAAGGUAUUUUGCCUCCUGCCCCACCCCCUACACCACCUGCAGUCAACCAUGUAGUGAACUUGUUUACAGUGGUUUGCUGUGUGCUUCCUGAAUCUUAGAGAGAUUUCAUGAAACAACCUUGAUUUUUAUUGUAGAGCCCUCCCUGUAGGCCCAGGAGGCCAGGUCAGAGGGGAUGUGAAUGAAGCACACCAUAUUCCUUGCCCAACACCGGUCCACGGCCUUGGCAUCUUUCUCCCACCUCUUAUCAUGGCCUUCUCUAUGGAUGAAUCCAUCCCUGGAGCGUCACAGACUCUGACACAAAUAGGCUUCACUUGGGCUGACCCACUAGCUUUUCACCCACACCAGGACCCACCUGAAGUCUAGAGUCAGUUUGGCACCACUGCUCCAUGCUGGCCUCAGCACGGUGUGUCCUGGGUACAGAGAAUACCCCAAAGGAAGACGUGGGCAACUCCUCCUGGGAUGGGUGUGACUGUGAAGCACCUGGCAGGACUCAGAGAAGGCACCGCUCAUGCUGAGUCUGGAAAGAUGAGUAGAUCCACUCCCCGAAGAUGAGGGGUUUGAAGUCUGCCUAAACCAUUCCCCUGCUGUUUGAUCUGGGAGCUUCCCGGCUUAACGUAACACCUACCUCACACAGUCCUGGUGACAGUUAAAUAUGAUCACGUAUGUGAGAGCAUCAUAAAAUGAAAGGCAAUGACUGUAAUUAUUAUGAUUAUUAUGAUGAUUUCAAGUACAGUUAUUUUAUUGGCAGGCAGCCUGUCUUUACUGACACCUUCUCAAAGACAGGCAGGCAGAAAACAGGUGGGUGGAUGACAAGAGAGGGUUGGGGAUUUUUUAAAAAAGAGCCCUGUUGGAGAUGCCACACCAGUGUAGAUGGUUGCUGAGGGUCUGUGAAGCAGUUGGCAGCCUGCAGCUACCUGAUAUUUGAAACUAUAGGAUCUUUAUAAAGUGACCCCAGUGACCUUUGGCUCAGUUGGCUUGUUUCUAUUCAAGCAACAAAUCCAAAUCUGCUUUGUGAGUAGAUGCAGUAUCAGUGUUGCACUGAUGGUGGAGAUAAAUUUCCCAACUGUGUUACAAGGAACAGAAAAUUGAGUGCUUGCGAUUUAUCUCUUGUGAACAGGUUAGGAUGAAAGGAAGGAGAAGCCCAGGAAAUACAGCCAGGAAACUUCUGAGGGUUAGUAGCUGGAAGGUUCAGGUCACAGGCAGGGUAUGAAUAGCUGUCACGUAACCUUCUCUGGGAAUACUUUCCUGGUUCUGUGAAGUUGAUGAAAUAGCCUACUUAGCAUUUUUCAUGAAACAAAAUUAUGUGGCUAAGAACAAAGGACAGUGAAACAGCAUCGUCUUACUCUGGAGGCUUUCUCCAAGGCGGUUCUUGGAGAUGGCCCAUAGGAUCAGAAACAACAUCUUCUGGAUCCAGAUUACUGCAUGUCCUGUCAUGGGCAAGAGUCAGAACCACAGACAUCAGAAAUAGGCAGCUAUGGGACAAAAGGCCAUGUUUAUCAAACUUGGCCUUCCAGAACAAAUUUCUAAUCCAUUCAGGUGGAUUAAUAUUUGACCCAGUCAUGCCCAGGGAAAAGGUGAAUGACUCUCCUUGUUUGUCCAAGAGCAGUGUCCUUGGUUUUCAUGUCUCUGCCAGGAUCAGAGAUCUUUAGAUCUAGUCUUCCCACCCCAUUUAUCUGAUCACUAUAUAAUCAGAACCAAAAGGAGCCUCUAGGUUCACACAGCUGGAACUCAUCUCCAGGAACAAACAGCUGGAACCCAUCUUCAGUUGGAGGGAAACUUCCAGACUUUUGUAAGAUUCUUCCUCCUGGGUAAUCUAUUUUUCUGUUUGUUUAUAUGUAUACUAUUUCUAGACAUCCAUCCACUUCAGUGAAACCAUUUUUUCCCUUUUAAAAACUCUUGGUCCAAGUUCACGAAUUAAGAAGGAAAUAAGUCAGAUUCUAAAAUGUAAAAUGCAAACAGAUUUCUUCUGGGAUAGCCUGAAUGUAGAAAUAAAAGGAAAUUAGUGAUACUGGGAACAAGUGGAGAUUUAGAAGGGAUUCCUAAGUUGUGAUAGAGUCCCCACAGAUCUGGGAAAAGCAUUUGCUGAAGGGUAUCUGGACCCCCACCCCUCCGCCCUGAUGUCAUAUGUGGCUUAACAAGGAAAGAAACAGAAAGUAUACUUUUACCUUUGUUUUCUUGUAAUCUUUCCUGCUAAUUCUUUCCUUAAGAAAGUUUUGGGUCUCUUUGAAAGCACAAUAGAACAACACAUGGCAAAAGCAAAAAAAAAAAAAAAAAAGAAAAAAGAAAAGGUACACUGCAGGUUGAACAGAAGAAGGAAGGAAAGGGGACAAGGGAGGAAUAUGCAUUAGGUGUCCUGCUUCCACUUUGGAGAAUAUUGCCCUAGGACAAAUAAAAGUGUGAGACCAUAUUUAUGGAAGCUGUAACCAUAGUCACUGAUCAUAAACUGUCUAGUUAACUCCCUAGUGAAUAAAGUUUGAUAGAUCUCUUGAAUACAAAGCAUUGCCUGUGAGGAGAGAGAAUAUUAGUUUUUGUGAAGAUUAAAGGAUUGUUUGAGGUAGAAGGUAAAGUUAAUCUAGAAAACAAAUUGUGGGACAAAUUCCAGUAAGAAAAAUGUGAUGGUUAUGUGCUUGGGUGUGGAAGGACAAAUGUGAAUGAAUUUGACCACCAGAUCUCUGUACCCUUGGCCUGGGCAGAUUUGCUUCCCCACCACAAAUAAUCUCUUACUUGUUUUCUCCCAAUUCCAUUUGACCUCUCUUUAGGGGAAGUUUAGUAUUGAGUAUAUAAGUGAGGAAGUUUUGAGUGGGAGAGCAGAUGUUGUUACUGGUGGCCCUAGGGUAUACUUGCUAGGAUUGGUUUCUGGGUGGCUGAGGGAGUUAAGAUUGCAGUAAACCUGGGAAAACCUCAGCUAAGCUGUUACAGAAUGAAUGUACAAAUGCUGCAAAUCAGAAACAAAAAUAUUCCUUAACCUCUAAGGCUAGGACAUGAGGGCCUUCAAGCUCCAACAAGCAAGCGGUUUUUUAGGAUGUGAAGUUCCUGUGUCGUGUCAGUCCAAUGUCUUAACUAGAGGUGGGCUGUAGGCUUGGCUUACACACCAAGCCUUAAGAGAUGAUGCGUCUCAGUCAACCUAUCAUCUGUUUCUUCCAGGUGGUGCCUUGUGCCACCAACUACACUUAGACACAAACUUGUCUCUGCAAUUCCAUCCUGGUGGAACUAGAAAAGGCUUUUAUGCUUAAUGAGAACCAUGGAGAAAGAGGCAUUUAGAGUUAGCAACCCUAAAAGUUUUACAGAUGAAUACGGUAGGCCUGGAGAGGAAAAUGAAGUCAGCCAUUAAAAACAUAAUUAUUGAGGGUCUACCAUGAGGCAGACACUGUGAUUCAAGGUGACGAAUAUCGGCUCUGCCCUCCUAUAGAUUACACACCAGUAGGAAAUACUGACAAGUAAACAGGUCAUUGUUGGCCCAAGAUCACAUAGAUAAUGGCUUGGAAAUGGCACCCAUGAAACCUGACAAGAGAUAACCUUUAUUUUAUUAUAUCCUUGUGGACAGAUCAGCUUCGUGACUUUUGCUUUAACAAUUAUAUCUAGUAAAGUGUCCUUGAUCUUAAUAUCUAAAGCAUAGAGUGUUUGGACAGACACUCUUGGCAGACCUGUCAGCUCAUACUCCCUUCUGUGAGCAGUGAUAUCCCCACAGCCUGUUAACACUGGCACUUCCUACAAGCACCCAUGGUCUCCUCCCCAGCGUGGAAACCCUUGGCAACAUUCCUAUCCACCACUGCCACCUAAUGACUCUUUUGGGUACUACCAGCUCUGGUUCUACUUCCUGAUUUUUUUUUUUUCUUUCUUUUUAACUCUGGGAUUUCUCCCUCUCUGGCAGAGAGGUGUUGACUGUGUGGUCUCUAACGUCCCUUCUGUCUUGACAUUCUACAAUACCUUUGAUGUUAGAAGGCAUUGCUGAACAGGAAACUUAGUUGAUUACAAGUCAAUAAAACUUUGAAGAGGUCUUCCAAAAAAAACUAGAAAAAUAAAACACAGCCAGAAUGAAAAGCGCAAUGUAAGUGUAAAGAACUUGGUAGAUACUGUAUUGGAGCAGCAACCAUGUAGGAAUACUUGUUAUUCUUUUAGGAGUGGCUCUCCUCCCUGCAAUGAUGUGCCACUUUCUUGCUAAACUUCCAAGAACACAAUUUCACUUGAUUCUAUUACAAAUGAUACUCUGUGUGCUUAAUGGAAAACUUUUCAGCCGCUGGUUAUUUCAGUAUUGUAGAAUGGUCAAAAGAUUCCUCAGUGUCUAAUCUGGUAUUUUUCAGCAGUGUACCAAAUUUGUUUAUAGUUAUUAUGAAACAGACAAGGUGGAUCAAUGCCAAAUGUUGAUGAGAAUGAGAGCUCACUUUGCUUACUCUGUCACAUGCCUUCCAUGUAACCAGCAAAACCCUGGAUCAUACUCCCAGGGCUGUUUAGCAACAGGCUUACUGCUAGGACCUAUUGCCUCUGUAAGGUCUACCAAAAUAAUUUUAUAUGAAAAUAAUGUUUAUUGACUUACACACAAAAAAGCACAACAUAAAAAUCAAUAAUUAAUUUAAUAUCUAUGAUAAUAUACCAUCUAUUAUUAAAUUUAGUAUUCAAAAGAAUUAUAUUACAUUCAAGAAUAAUUCAAAGGUCAAAAUUUUCUCCCAUUAUGAGAAUUUCUCAGUAUGUGUGAUGAUUGCCAAAAAAACCUAGCUGUUCAUAAAUUAAAUUAAUUACUCACAGACAAUUUGAAAAACAAAAUUAUAAAAAUCAGUUUCAGAUAUUCAGUGAAAAGUCAUUUUUUUUAUUGUUGGAUAUGGGGCAUUCACAUGUAUUUGAUAUAAUGUGUAGGACUAUGGUGUUUUUUUUUUUCUGACUUACGUAGAAUCAAGAUGAUAUUUUUCCUUAAAUUUUUAUUUAAAUUCUAGAUUGUAAACAUAUAAUGUAAUAUUGUUUUCAAGGACUAUGGUGGUUUUAAAAGGCACUGAAUACUCUUUAAGGUUUUCUCCAAAGAACUAAAGGUAUAGUCAGAAACUACUUGCUGCAAACACCAAAUAUCUUUCAAUUCUCAAAUCUACAAAUUUCAUAAGAAAUACAAUCUUAAAAGUCCAUAAAGAAUUUCUUCUCUAUUUUGUUAUCAUCUAUACUUGUUUAAUUCUAUUUUUUUUUCUUGAGAGAGAGAAAGAGAAAGAGAGUGCAAGCAGAGGGUUGGAGGGAGAGGGAGAGAAAGAAUAUUAAACAGGCUCCAUGCCCAGUGUGCAGCUGGACAUGGCUAGAUCUCACAACCGUGAGAUCAUGACCUGAGCCAAAAUAAGAGUUGGAUGCUUAACCAACUGAGCCACCCAGGCGUCCCUAAUCCUAUUUUUAAUUAUCUAUCACUGAGUAAACAUCAUGUUCCAGGUAAAAAGCACCUUGUUUACCCUGUGGGUGUGUUUGAGUGUCUGACACACCGCCCCUGGGAUGUGUGAGUUCUACAGUUUGAGAUUGACAGCUCCUGAGAGAGAAUGGUGGCGAUCCUAUUCUCCUUGUUCUUCCUCUGAGAAAAAUUUGAGAAAUCAUCGCAGCAAAUCGUAAGGCCUUUGACUUGAAAAAGUCUAAGGAGGGGUGCCUGGCAGGACUCUUGAUCUCAGGGUUGUGAGUUUGAGCCAUAGAGUUUAAGGGGGGAAAAGUGUCUAAGGAGUUGUUUUUAUUUUGUUUUUGUUUUUAUCACAAGGUAACAUCAUUUGCCUGUGUGUAACAGUCUGCGUACACGUGCAGGAAAAAUUAGAAAAUAUUCUCUGAGGGGCGCCUGGGUGGCUCAGUCAGUUAAGCGUCCCACUCUUGAUUUUGGCUUGGAGCCUGCUUGGGACUCUGACUCUCUGACUCACUCUCUCUCUCUCUCUCUCUCUCGCAAAAUAAAUAAUUUUUUUUAAAAGAAAAUGUUAUCUGAGAAUGAUUCAAAGUGUCCCCAAUGCAUAAAACAACUGAGGAUAAGCUUUUAUUCUUCUUCUUCCAGUCCUAAGAGUUGACCCAGACCCAAUUCCAAGCAUUACAUGGGUUCUUCCAUGUUCCUCCCUGUUCGUUCUAAAUAGCACCUCAUAAUUCCACCUUUGGCCAUGAAACACCUACUUCUUGGGGAACUAGGUCUGCCUCCUUUCUCCUGAGGAUAAAACUGCUCUCAAUUGCUCUCCUCACAGCCGGCUUACUAACUGACUUGAGUAUCUGACAUCCUGUCUUCAAUAGUCCUCUGAUCGACCCUUCCCUGGGCUCAGGGUUCCCUCUAAGUACCCCUUCUUCAUAGCUCUCGCCUCCUAUUUUACUGUCUCAUCUCAGGAAAUUGGAGCUCCGUCCCUUCUCCCUGGAUGCACCAUCCUCUUUCAGGGAGGCAUUUGGUGUAUCUUGAUGGUCUUUGUGUUCCAGGACUUAGCACAGUGUCUGGUACCCAGUAGGGACUUACAUAAAGGUUGUUAAUAUGUUAAUCAGUGAAGUAAAGAAUGUGGAUGGAUUUUGUAAUGCUGUGAUUGAUAGAAAGGUAAAUAGCGAUCCUAAGGGAUAGGAAAGAAUGGUUGGGGCAGGGAGUUGUGUUCAGGAAACUUUUAAUUCGACUUUGCAAAGGAAUGGACUGAUGAAACGUUUGAGAUUAAUGAGGAAGGGAAAAGAAAAGAUGUAUUUAGGUGACUGAGGAUACCUGAUUCUAGGAGCUCUGUCAGAGAGGAAAGUCCCUGUCCUUUUAGCCUAAUCUGGCAAUGCCAUUCUGUGCCCCGACCACACCUCCUUUUGCCCUUGGCAGGAGCCCCUGUUGGAAGAGAUGGUGAUGGGCCAGGGCCCCCUGUUGUUGGUCUUCAUGCUGGGUCUGGGUCUGACCCCGCCAACCCUGGCUCAGGAUGACUCCAGGUACAAACACUUCCUGACCCAGCACUAUGACGCCAAACCAAAGGGCCGGAAUGACAGAUACUGUGAAAGCAUGAUGGAGAGACGAGGCCUGACCACACCCUGCAAAGACACCAACACCUUUAUUCAUGGCAACAAGGGCAGCAUCAAGGCCAUCUGUGGAAAUAAGAAUGGAAACCCUUACGGAGAAGCUUUAAGACUAAGCAAGUCUCCUUUCCAGAUCACCACCUGCAGGCACGUAGGAGGGUCUCCCCGGCCUCCCUGCCGGUACAGAGCUACACCAGGCUUCAGACACAUUGCUGUUGCCUGUGAAAAUGGCCUGCCUGUCCACUUUGAUGAGUCCUUUUUCCGUCCAUAACCAGCAGGCCACAGCUGGCUCUGCUCCCCUUUCCUUGCAUUUCCCUCCACACCCCAGAACAGUGGUGGCAACAUUCAUUGCCGGGGGCCCGGAGAAUGACCUGCCUGGAUCUCUUGCUUUCCUUUUUACAACAUGUUUAAGAAAUAAAAAUGACUCUGAAAUCAGUAAGAAUCAAAGUCUUCUCACUGAUUAUUGGCCUAUAAAUCUAUUAAAACCCCAUUUUCUCUACUCAGCUGCUCCCUGAGAGGAUUGGAUACAAUAGAAAUGCCCUUUUCCUUAUCAGUCAGUUCCUCAUUAGUCAGUAGGGAGGUGGACUUUACCUUUGUGUAAAAAGAAGGUGGUUAAAUUCAUCUUACAGAAAGAACUAGGAAAAUUCCAGGGCUUAUGGCAACUAAGCAGAAUUUUCAGAAGGGGCAAAUAAUAAGCCCAAUAUUACUUUUACAAAUGUUAAACCUUGAGAAAAGUUGAGGACUAAAUACCAACAGAUUAAUCACACUUUCUCUCUUUCCCACACCCAUACAUGUAACCCUGCAUCAAUACCAAAAUCCAUGCAGAGUAGACACCUCUUAUCUUAAGCAGGAGCUAAUUUUUUUAUGUUGCCUUGAAUGGAAUACUCCCUGGAUAUUCUCAUGGCUAUUUUAUAUAAAGAUCAAAAAGUGAUUACUUUAUCAUUCAUUCAUUCAUUAUUACAGUCUUUUCUCCCUAAUCUCUUACUUUAUCAAAUAAUGUCUGGCAACUGUGAGAUCUUUGGGAAGGCACAGAAAGAUUCCAAGCUUAUUUUUUAUUCUUCUUCAACUAGAUUUGGUUUUCAGGUAAACAGAAACUUAAGUUAACGACAUUCUCUUUGUAAAAUAUACUUAUCAGUCCACAGGUUAAGUGAUUAACUUCCUGUUAACCUAAUUCCUAUCAACAGGUGUCUCAAUAUUUUAUUUAGAAAGCAGUUGAUAAAUUACAGUUAUAAAUUACAGUUUGCCAUCUUGUGAAUGUAUAACUGUCGUGGUCACACUAUCCCCAGUGGUGGCCUCCCCUGCUGCCCACAUUGCUCUUAAAUGGGCCAAAAACCCUGGUUUCUCAAUACUCGGGUUAUAGAUCAGUGUCUAGGUGCCAUCUGGGAGAGCCCAGCCUCCCUGAAAAUAUUCAGAUUUGGGGAGGAAGUGAUGGAGAAGUAGGUUACAGGUGUAUACUCAGCACAUGAAUCUGUCCGCCUUGAGUUAUCUAUUUCAAAAUUAAAAACACUGUCAUUAGAGAGAAGAAUUUUCCGAACCUCUCUUAUUAGAAAAUGUGCCUUAUCAUAAAAUCUCAAAAACUCCUUAAAGAGUAAGAAAAUUCCAAUUUGUGGUAAAACAUUUGGACGCUUUCUCAGGGUCUCCAACCAGUACUAUAUCCUUGAUAUGAGGCAAAGUGACUUCCAUACAGAUCAUUGCCCCUCUCUUGAUAUAGAAGGUUAAAGGCACAGACCAUUAUUAUAUUGAUCACACCAUAUCUGAGAAAACUCAUGUCUUCUCCAAACAUCUGCUUAGAGCAUUACCAUUGCAAACUCUGCUCUAGUGUUGGGUCAAAUGACUGUUUCCCUGGAGAUGACAUGGCAACGGGCUGUGGGUGCUUCCUGUCCUGCUUUGGGAGCUAGUAGCAGCUUGGUGGCCAAUCCUAGCCCUUUUUGCUCUGGGUCUCUUGUUCUCUCACCGUCAAAAGGUGUUUAGAAUGAAAUGUCAAGUCACAGGCAAGUCAUUUCAUCUGGAGUGAAUCAUUUGAGGAGUUGCAGUACUGGUCAGCUGUACUUUACUGACUUUGCAAGGGAAAGAGAAGAAAAACUUCAAAAAUGUCAAGUCCUUUGAGGAAUGGUCACAUUCAAGGAAGAAACUUCAGUGCAAUUUGGACAGGACAAAUUUCUCUAGAGACACAGCAGAAAUGCUAGUAGGUGAGAUAUUUCAGCUUAAAAGGGGCCUUGUAAUUUCUUGGGAAUAAAGGUACUCUACAAAAUAAGGGGGAAGGGAUCCAAAAUGUAUGCAGUUUGGUGCAGUUAUUCAUUAUUUUUAUCAGAUUGAAGGAAGCAAAGGAAAACAAGAGGAAUGGAAAUUAUGAAAAGAUCAUUGCCAACAUUUACUAAACACUAUCAUGGGCUGGGCGUUGUGAUAAGCACUUGACAUUGAUUUUAUCAUUAAUUCUUCAUAACAUCUCUAAGAGGUGGGUAUUACCAUUAUGCUCAUUUUACUUAUGAGAAAAUAGGCUGAGAGAUUAAGUAAUUUCCCCAAGGUCACACAGUUAAUGUGGCAAAGGUAGGCUUUGGGGAUCACCACAUAGAAAUUAGUUCUUAUUGAGAGUCAAUCUGGUGCAGUGGAGAAAGACUUUGGGACAAACUCUGACCAAAAACUAUGUGUUGGGAUGAUUCAGGCAUCAUUUGAUUUUCUGUAGUACCUAGCACCCUGAGAUGUACCCAUUGACGUCUACAUUGGACUUCGGUUCGCAAAUAUUUUCCCAUGUCUUGUUAAAUCAGUUCGUUAUUGUGGCUGAAGCCAGUUUGUUCUUAUAUGAAUAGUUCAAGUUUUCUCUGUAGUCAGUUAUUUUGCUGAACCAUGAUCUUGGUCACAAAGAAGGAUGAGAGAAAGUAGACAGAACUGUGCAAGAUGAGAGGUGCAAGAUCAGAUCUGGGAAAAACAACCCAAAGUACGUCAUUGUGAUGAAGCCAUUACCCAAGUGCUAAGUGUGCCUUCAGAAGUUGUAUCCAUGGGUGCUGGGGUGAGGAGUAAAUUGAGCAUCAUUUCUCCCAUCCAUCCUUCUUCCCAUGACUCCUUCACUUCCCUCUCUUCCUGACUCCAUCUCUCAUAUCAGCUGCAGGCACAGCAAUAUGACAUAGAGCUUUACAACUUUCUGUGCACAGGCAAAAGGUGGCUGUGAACAUAGAAGGUGGCAUGUAAAAGAAUGACGGUUAUGUUUCAUCCUGUCAUUACCACUAACCAAAGUGUAGGCUUUAGGUGGAACAGAUCGCAGGUCCCUCAUCAGCCUUUUCAGUCACUUACACGCGUGAUCCGGCAUCAGGAAGCAGCACCUUUGCAAACAAAGGCCAGUAGUGCCCAUAUAUGUCAACCCAGGGGUUCAGCUGAGGCCAGCCCUUGAACUGCACAUGUAGAAAUGGGCCAGUCUUCCUCAAAAAAAUUGCCUUUGCUAUUGAGAUGCUCACUCCCUGUUGAAUUGGAGAUUUUUUUUUCCCCUCUACUGAGUCAACCCUGCCUCAUCAUAAGAGUCAAGUAGUUCACAGUUUGAGUUCAUGUCAGUCCCAGACUGACAGCCAGAAGGCAGCAUCUAGCUAGUGAGUUAGUGUGGUAAGUGACUCCCACCUCCACUCCCACCCUAUUCCACCCCUGAUUACAUUCUGUUGCUAGAGAGAACCAACUCUGAGCACAAACAUCUAUAGUACCUUGGAUAUUUGGGACGUGGGGUGGGAGAGGCAAUUAGAAGAUGGCAGAAAGAGUACAGAUUUUAGAGCCAGAUAGGCCUUGGAUUCCUUUCUUUAAUUAGUCCCUAGCAGCAAUGUUCUGAAACUAUAUCACAAUGCUUUCUUUGUCAUUGCUCCAGAGGUGUUUGUUUGUUUGUUUGUUUGUUUGUUGACUCUGUAAAAUAAAUGUUUAUUUCCCACCAUCAAGAGGUGCCAGCACAAAGAUCCUGCAGCCAGAGAAUACAGAGAAUUACCAACAGCUAUUGACAAGACAGGCAGAGCAUCAAGGAUAGAUGCAGGACAAUGGAGUAUAUCAGCAGGGCCUAGUUUUUUGGGUUGUACAUAGAAACAGAAAAAGAAAACCCCACAAUCCACAUCCUUUUUUGUGGAGAUUGUGCUAUUUAUAUUUCUUUCUUUAUUUUUAAAUGUUUAUUUAUUUUUGAAAGAGUGAGAGAGAAAGAGAGAGCAUGAGCAAGGGAGGGGCAGAGAGAGGGGGCACAGAGGAUCUGAAGCAGGGGGCUUGAACCCAUGAACCGUGAGAUCAUGACCUGAGCUGAAGUUGGAUGCCUAACCGACUGAGCCACCCAGGUGCCCCUAGAUUUUUUUUUUUAACUUUGUUUUAAAUGUUUUAUUUAUUCUUGUGAGAGAGAGACAGAGUGUGAGUGGGGGAGGAGCAGAGAGAGAGGGAGACAUAAUCUGAAGCAGGCUCUGAAUCUGAGCUGUCAGCCCAAAGCCCGAUGUGGGACUUGAAUCCACGAACAGUGAGAUCAUGACCUGAACGGAAGUGGGACGCUUAACCGACUGAGCCCCCCAGGCCCCCCAAGAUUUAUUUUUUUUAAUGUUUCUUAGCUUAUUGGUUAAUUCCACAAGCCUGGAAAACACCUUCGCGCUCUAUAUACAUUUCACUUCAUUUUUCACAAGCUCAUGCAUUUCGUUUAUUAGUUUAUUCAGCCAAUAUUUACUACCUUUAGUGCACUGAGACUUGAUACUCUGCUUUUGUAGGGUUCCUUUAUAUAAUAUUAACAGGAUUUCCAAAAGGCCCUGAUUUUAAUAUCAUAGGAGAAUAGCCAGUUAAGAGGAAAAUUAAAUAUUAAUACUAAUACUAAUACCUAAUACUGCCCCGACCUCUUUUCUGUACUUCUUCAAUUCCAGAUAUAAGGAAUUAAAAUCAGUUCAUCAGCUUUCUUUGACAUAUCUUGAGUCUAGUGGCACCUGGGUGGCUCAGUCAGUUAAGUGCUAAGUGUCUGACUCUUGAUUUUGGCUCAGGUCAUGAUCUCACAGUUCAUGAGUUCAUGCCCCCAUCAAGCUCCGCAAUGCCCAUGCAGAGUCUACUUGGAAUUGUCUCUCUCUCUCCUUCUCUGUCUGCCCCUCCCCUGCUCUCUCUCAAAAAAAAAAAAGAAGAGAAGAGAAGAGAAAAAAGACAUAUUCUGAGUCUAUCCAAAUUUUUGGGAAUCAGAGUCUCCAGAGGACUCAACACUCCAAAGAUCACAUGACUGGAGAAUUACCUCAAGAAAUAGUCAACUCCAGUUUCACUUAGCUCUGCCUUUUCUUCCUGUUCACGCUCUAACCAUACAGGCCAGAUACAAUGGACAGCCACCCGGUCAGUGUCCAUCCUGAGUUAUUGUGCUCAGUGCAGCAACUUCUCUCCAUAAAAGAGAAUGACUCUUGCUUCCAGAAAAAGUCAUGUUUACAUACUCUUUGCUCUAGCAAAAGCAAGACAAGAAAAGUCGUGAGCAGAGAAGAGUGAGGAGCUGAUAAGGUACAGAUAAGGAGGAAAGAGGAGACUAGAGUUGAGGAAAUGACAGUUUGCCAUUCUCUUCACCUCUCUCCGGUGCCCAAAUCUUACCUUCCUUUCUCCUUCCCCUUGGGCUUCUCUCUAGGCAUCUCCAAGGUCGUGAUGGCUCUCCAGAGGAUUCAUGCAUUGCUUCUGCUCUUGCUGCUGACCAUGCUGGGGCUGGUGCAGCCCUCCUAUGGCCAGGAUCGCAUGUACCAACGAUUCCUGCGGCAACAUGUGGACCCUGAGGGGACAGGUGGCAACGAUGCCUACUGCAACUUGAUGAUGCAAAGACGGAAGAUGACUGUGCGUCAGUGCAAGCAUGUCAACACUUUCAUCCAUGAAGACAUCUGGAACAUUCGUAGUAUCUGCAGCACCACUAAUAUCCAGUGCAAGAAUGGCAAGAUGAACUGCCAUGAGGGUGUAGUGAAGGUCACAGACUGCAGGGAGACAGGAAGUUCCAGGACCCCCAACUGCAGAUAUAGGGCCUUGGCAAGCACCAGGCGUGUGGUCAUUGCCUGUGAGGGUAACCCCGAGAUGCCUGUACACUUUGACAGAUAGACACCAUCCUGCAGGGGUGACAACCCAGCCCUUGGCCUUCAACUUAAUGCAUAAACUGCAAUGAGUAAUGCAUUUGAGCUGCCCCAGGCUCUGUCUCCUCUACUUCUUAUUCUUUUUCUCUUUAUAACCCAUUCUGUUAAGCACAUUGUAUCAAAGAGAAAUGGAGACAUAAAAUGAGGCUGGGCUUUUCUAUAGUAAACUUUUUUGCUUGCUUUUAUCAUACUGGUCAGUUGAGCUCUCUCAUCAGAUCCUAUCCUCUGGAAUUUAGUCAUUAUCUGUAUUUAUAUAGCACUUCAAGCAUUUCAAAGUGCUUUCAUCUAAAUUAUCUCAUUUUAAUAGCACAGCACUCCUGUAAUGCUGCCUGUUGUAUGUAGGAGCCCAAAGUUAAGAGAUUUGCUGAAGACCAUGAAGUUAGUGGAAUAACUGAGACAGAAAUCCAGUUGAACUGACUACCAAUCCAGGGCUUUCUCCACUUCAUCACAAGGAGCGUUUUGAAAGUAACUGCUUUUUGUUGUUUCCCAGAGUCAGCUGUUGGGAGAAGCAUUACAAAUUUGGAAAUGUAUGCUGGCAAAUGAGAACUCUAUCUGUGUGAUUUGGCUCCCUUGUUAUGCUGGGCUCUAAUAAGAUCAGGAAAUGAUGCGAGGAAUUUUCUUUCUCUCUCUCCGCGACUUUUGAAUCACUCUAAUAAGUCAGAAUAUUAAAAAUGUACUAGAUCAUUUAUGACUUAUUCACUCUUCCUGACUGAAAUGUUUUUCAUGUUUUCCUUGUAAUAAA
rnacentral:lncRNA from 1 species